UCCUGGCUUAGGAUGAACGCUAGCUACAGGCUUAACACAUGCAAGUCGAGGGGUAACAUGAUGGAGCUGCUCCGAUGAUGACGACCGGCGCACGGGUGAGUAACGCGUAUCCAACCUGCCCCCAUGCUCAGGGAUAACCUUCCGAAAGGGAGCCUAAUACCUGAUGUUGUGCGACGAUGGCAUCAGAAUUGCACUAAAGAUUCAUCGGCAUGGGAUGGGGAUGCGUCUGAUUAGCUUGUUGGCGGGGUAACGGCCCACCAAGGCGACGAUCAGUAGGGGUUCUGAGGGGAAGGUCCCCCCACACUGGUACUGAGACACGGACCAGACUUCUACGGGAGGCAGCAGUGAGGAAUAUUGGUCAAUGGGCGGGAGCCUGAACCAGCCAAGUAGCCGUGCAGGACGACGGCCCUACGGGUUGUAAACUGCUUUUAUGAGGGGAUAAAGUGGGCUACGUGUAGCUUAUUGCAGGUACCUCAUGAAUAAGGACCGGCUAAUUCCGUGCCAGCCGCGGC
rnacentral:rRNA from 1 species